rnacentral:lncRNA from 1 species
CGAAACACCAGCACCAGAAGCUACCGCGGGGGAAGGAUCUAGGUUGGGGAAACCAUGUGUCGCCGCCAUUACGGCUGGGAAAACUGCCGCCACCGCGGGACCUCGCCUGGGUUGCCGUUUGGGUCAUGUGGUCUGGCCUGGGGGCUUCACAACAUUGCCUGGGAGUUGAUCAUGGUUGUUCUGGACGGAAUGGUGCUCCGUGGCUCCAUCGAUUGCUCACCGGCACUGAAGCACCACCGCGGCGCCGCUUCAUGCUGCGGGCCGGCCUCACCACAACGCCUUAGACGGUAAUAAUUUGGCCCGUUAAUUUGCCUUCGCUCUCGCAUCGUGUAGCGUGUCUCCAAUCGUAGGUUAGCUCACUCGGCUUUCGCCUAGGGCCGCCGAUGGCGCGCCGCUGUGCAGGGAGGAUCCUGUGCGCCGCCACUUGGAGCCGACAGGGGAGGAAGAGUGCCCAGUGACCUUUGACCGUGCCAUUGGAUCUGGGUCUAACGACCAAGAUCGGAUCACGUUUCAUCAAAUCAUGAUCGUUGUGAUAGUAAUGGACGACUGAUAUCUGUAGUAAAGAUACCGAUUCGAUAUUUUAAAUCGUUGCCGUUAAUCGGUCUGUGGAUGGCGUAGAUUAGCUCAAUCAUACCCCUUUGGCCCGAUUAAACCUAGGUCGUUGGGAUAUGAUCUGAGGGCUCAAGGCUUAGCAGGGUGUGGCACGUUUCUGGCCAUUGAUCAGGAAUCCUGUGGCAAUGGGCUCAUACCAAUUCAUGCGGGGUGAUAAUCUAAUCCGAACCGAGGAGCUCUGAUUGGACGGUUGUGAAUGGCCGAUACCCCUUCGACCAGGGUAAUAUGCAAAGAAGACCUCGUAGUUUAUCAAAUCAACCCCCGGUCUAGAACUAUAGGAAAAUCAUCACUAUCAGGCCCCAAAAUUUAUAAAACCGACCCUAGGGAAUUCCAGAAUAGUGUCCGCCGUCCAAAAGACUUCCAGGAAAGGUUAAAUGAAUUUCGAAUUUAAUUCUAAAUAUAGAAAUAAAUCACAAAAACUUAUAAAUCCCGCUGUUAGUUUGUUUUAACUCCGAUUUAAUCCGUUCGAGUUGCGAUAGCUCCGUAAGUAAAUUACCUACGCUAUAGUAACAUUAUUUUAUCAAGUGACAUGUUUUCGAAAAUAAAUAUUAUGUUUAACCUAUGUUAGUAGAUUAACCCUUUUAAUCUAACACUUAAACUUUAGAAAUUCAUAACUCCUCCGUUUUAAUUCCGAAUUGAUUCAUUCCAGUUGUGUUAGUUUCGUAUAAAUAUUUAAUAUGCAGUAACAUCAUAAAUUAUACUAUGUCGCACACUCUUAUAAUUACAUAUUUAUUUAUUCUUUGUCUACCAGAUUAACUCUACUAAUAUAGGUUAAUCUCUCUAUAAAUAUAAUCUGAGUAAACGGUAACUCCUAAUCAAGUUAUAAUCUAGAUUAAAGUUGAUUAGUUAUUUAGAAUAUAUUUUCUCAUAUACUGUGUACUAAUCAAUUUAUAAUAUAAUUCAAAUAUUCAAACCACAUAGAUCUCCUGUAAAUCAUAACUCGGUAACCGUAACUCCAAUUUUAGUGGUUCUCGAACACGUGAUCUCAUAGCUUCACGUAGAUCAUUAUUAUUCAGUUUGUACUUAUGCUUGGUGUGAUGUUAAUUUUAUCUAUACCAUGUUUAUUUGUAUUGCUACGACUAGCAGUGAGGUCACGAGGAUCUGCAGAAUCAUCCUGGUACCUGGAAUCUCAAGUGCCAGGCAAGUUGUGCCCUUAACCACUUUAUACCCAAUAAUGUUCUUUAUUAUCACUCAUUAAUACAUAGGUUUAAUUUUGAUGUGACCCAAUAGGUCACCCCAGUCUGAUUAUCUUUUACCUUGUUUACCCUGAAUCACUUGGGUAGUUCUGCUAUUGCUUUAUAUGGUUUUGGGUUAAUAUUUCAUUAUAUCCAUGUUCCAAUUAUUUUGUUAUUUUAUUUAUGUUCAUGUCAAGAUCAUUAUCUUUAAUUGGAACAUGGAGCUUAACUUGAGAAACAUGUUCCACCACAAGGGAGGAAUGGGACCCCUUAGCUAACUAAUUAGGAAAGCUAGUGGAAGACUACCUUACCUGAAAGGAGCAAGGGCAGUAGGGGGUUGCAUGCAAGGAGGUUCUCGGGUUGAUUUUGCUGCUAUGGCGGUCAGACGGGGAAGUCUUGCAAGUGCUCUUUCCAUAAACUGUAGCGGGUUUUCGGAAGCUAGUGGAACUUUGUAAAGGCCUUGUAGUGGAUCCCUAGCCAUUCACCUCGGUAGUGUCUAAGGGCCUUGCAAACCCUAGUGACAUGGGAUACACUUUUUGUGGGUACAGGGUACAACCUCUGCAGAGUGUAAAACUAGUAUACUAGCCGAGCUCAUGGUCAUGAGCAGCUCUGGACUCUCGCAUGAUUAAAUUAUAGAACUUAAAUUCAAUUUGUCAUUUGCAUUUGCAUGGGAUUAUUUAUUAAUUUUGUUCUAUUAUUUAUUAUAGUUUGGUAUUUACUUACACUUAGUAACUGCUAAUAAAAUUUUGACCAACUUAUAAAAGCAAUGCUCAACUUCAACCUUUAUUUUGUUGAUCAGCCUUACACUUCACAUGAACUCCCACCUUUUGUGAGUUCAUGCCACAUUAUUCCCCGCAACUUGUUGAGCGAUGAACAUGUGUGAGCUCACCCUUGCUGUCUCACACCCCCACAUGAGAAGAACAGGUGGUUUAGAGGAGUCACGCAACGAGGAGUUUGAUUUGAUCUAGGUGGCGUCUCCCAGUUGACUUUCUAGCGCCAAGGAUGGAUUUUAGAUCCUUUUAUAUUUAUCUUUUAUUUUGUAAGACUUCCGCUAUGUAAUAAAAACUCUGAUUAUAUUGUG